rnacentral:lncRNA from 1 species
UGGGAAGUUCUCUAAAUACUCCAUUCUCAGACUAUCAAAGCUCUGAGAGUAUUUUCUUGUCUCACAGGGAUAAAUUCCAUUAACUACAGCAAAGUGCUUAGCUAUUAUAUUCAAGGGGAUUGUACACAAUGGGCAUAAAGACCAGGGCUUUGGAAAAUACCUGAAGAAAUUGAGGUGUUUAAAUAUGUAGAACAAUUUACUUGGAAGCUAGGCACUUCUGAAAGUUCUUUUGAAAAUCCUCAUAUCUGCCUUUAUGCUUGAGAGAACACAAACAAGGUAAGAAUCAUGCAGGUGACCUUGGCAUUUACUUUCUGAGGAUAAGCUUUCCAGGAGCCCAGUAGAUGAUGUACGAGUAGGAAUCUGCCUUUCUUCAAACUGUCAUAUUCUUCAAUUAAUUUUAAAGUCUCUUGCAAAUGUUUAUGCAUGACAGUCACAAUUUUGGAUAUGACACUUCUGGAAAAUAAGAUUCAAGGCUUAAGGUUCACUUGCAGCAAAAGUCCUGUGCUUUGCAAGACUAACCACCCCAACCAAACUGAUGCUGAAACACUGGUCUGCUCCUUACAAAUUUAAGUCAUUCUCAAGCUGAAGAGCAUGAACCAUAUAAGCUUUAUUUGAUUUAUAACACAAACACUACAUUGACUUAUUUGAGGAAUCAAAAUAUAAAACUCUGCAAAAACAUACACUUUGAUUUAUGUGUGGAAGAGGCAAUGAGAAUCUCAGUCUUUGGAGAAUGGCCACAGAGAAUGACAAAUAAUACUGACCAUAAUGAUUGCAGGCCUGGAUUUAUUACUUUUGCUUAUUAUAAUGUACCAUGUAAUUUACUUGUACAGUAUAACUGUUUGGUUGAAAUAAGUAUAUUGUAUUCAGUGCAUGGCAGUCAUAUUAUAAUGGAAUAUUUUGGAUUCUCAAUGAUCCAGUUAUUCAUACAUCCAAUUCUGUGACAUUAGAGUAGAUUUAAUGGUUAGAGGAAAUGCUCUUUUCUAUUUCUACUGUAAGUUGUAUGCAUAAAUUUAUGAGUUCAUUUUCUAGCAAUAUUCUGAUCUCAAAACUCCUUAUACUAUUUUUAUUGCUUUUAAAAUAUUUUCUCUAUAUCUGAUCACCAACAUAUUUUACACAUUUGAAGAAGUGUUGUUUCAGCACAACAGACAACUCAAGAUCCACAUGUAUACCAAACCCUUAUUCUGCUGUUGUAUUUUAAGUGUUGGGACUUAGAGAUGUUGAGCAAUGAGAAAACAGUCUCUUCACCUUCAAAAAGUACAACUCAACUCAUAUCCCAGUCCUUGAUAGGUGUGCUGUACCUCUGCAUUAGCUGAUAUAGAGGCAAAUUUAUCAUGUAAAGAAUUCCAACCUCUUAAUUUAAUUUAGAUAUGUAUUGGUGAAAUGAAGAACCUAAUUCUAUCUGAAUUUGAACAAGAAGAUGCCAGUGAAUUAAAUUACAUUAUGCUGCUUGCUAUAAACUGGAAAAUCUUAUCUAAUCUUAUAUAAAUGUCUUUUUUUCCCCAGGAAUCCUUCAAACUGCAGAAGGGGUACUUCAUUUCCACCUUCACUUUUUACUCUUCAUAUAAAACCUUAAUUUUGGGGGCUGUUCUAGAGAAAAAUGUCUGUGAGAAUCAGAUGUUUUAGCAUAAAUUUGUCAUGGGCCAUUUUCUUUGUGUAUUAUUAACAUGAACAUGAUUUAAAUAAAGCCUGUCAGACCUGUAGAGUCUAAGUGAGGAUAACAAAGGAGACAACAAAACCUCAAAAGGUAAAAGAACUUUUCAGAAUAUGUUCUAUGACAGAAGAAGUUUUCUUAAUCCUUCAUUGACAAAUCUCAUUUGUUUUAUACACUUCUGAAUCUUAAAUAUGCCCUAGAAUAAAUAUAACAAGUUUAACAAUAUCUGAACGUAAAGAAUUCAAUUUGUUCAUUGCUCUUUUGAGUACUUCUUUAUUUUCUCCUGCUAUUUUGAGUACUAUGAAGAUCUUCAUUUGUGUCACAGUGAAACUGCAUAUAUUGGUGGUAGUGUCAGUGUUCCUACUACUAUUAAUAUUAUUCUUAUUACUAUUGUUAUUGCUAUUUAUAAAUCUACCCCCAACAAUCAUCUUUCUGUUAUCUUAAAGCUUAAUGAACCGCACAUCAAUUCAUCAAAAAUUUUCAGUUGUGUUUUUGUUUAAUUCUGCAGAAGUAAAAAGUCAGGGAGAGAUAUCUUUGCUAAGAGUGUCGGUGGUCAAGAAUCAAGGAAAGAUGCAAGUUUCAUUUUUCCAUCCAGCAGAAAUGAAUUAAGCUCCUAUUGCUUCUCUUCAAAGUAGUUACCAGUUCACAUAUCUAUUCUGACAUGGCAGCAACAGGUCUUGUACCCAUAAUAAAAAUAUAGCCUCUGCCUGAUAGAGACUUGUUUUCAGAACACUGUUUGGUUGAAGUUCUAUCACAAUUUCAUGUCAUUUGCUUCACCUUGUUCUGCUGCAGUUAUAUAAAAUAUUUGCAUAAAAAUACUGUAAUGUUAUGCUUGGGACAUAGUAGGUAACAAAUGCAUGCUCUGAUCCCUUUUGGUAUUUAUGUAAAUGGAGUAAAACAAGAAUAAAAGGUAAUCAUAAGAUUUAACCAUAAAAUUCUGCCAUUUCAAGUAGGAGGAGCUCUGCCAUAAAAAACUGGGAAUUGAAUUCAAGGCUCUCACAGCAUAAGAAAAUGGUUAGUUGUUGGAUUCUUAAGGGGUUCAGUAAUGAUCCAAGCUGUCAGAGAUAUUGUGUAUUUAAAACUGAAUGGUUCCAUUAACUUUGAUUGAACUUUUUCUCUACUGUGUUAUUCUUUUCUUGUCUGUAAAAGAAGCCAUCAAUGUCACUGGGAAGCUUUCUGAGCUCUCAUAACUCAGACCUCGCUGACAAUUGACUCUUGGAAGCAAAUAUGUCUGCAUGAAUUAAAUAUGUUUUGCUGUCAGUGGGCAUUAGAUAUGUUACCUGAUGUUUGAAACUAUGGAGGCACAAAUAGACAUCACAAGUCUGCAAACUGAAAAUUCAUCUGUAAAGUAGCUGUAUUUUCUGGUCCUCAAGAAUCAGAUUAAUAUGAUACAAAAUACUAUGUUAGAAAAAUCCCUUGAAAUGUCCUUGGAAAACCAUCAGAGGAGGUUUUGGAAAACCAUCAGGGUGAGGUUCUGUAAAUACUGCCUCGAAGUGAGAUUCCUGUGCAAACUUUGUGGUGAAAAAGACAAUUUAAAUUCAGGAAGCAAGAUUCAAUAGCAAAUAGUUAAUUGUGCAGAACAUUUUGUUACUACAUUUCUCAUUUCCCAACCUACAUCACUUGAAACACACCAGUCCCAGAACUUGCUGAAAUAUUCCUACCAGGUGAAAUCUUGGCAGACAAUGCAAAAUCUUAAUCUUCGUAACAGUCCAGACAAGGGAGUUGAUUUUAUUGCACCAGAAAUUGUCAUUAUAGCAGGUAAUAAUUUUAUCUACAUGCUUCGACCGUCUAUCAAGGAAGGAAAAUUCCUGGAAAAUCACUACUGUGUGCUCUGUCUCUCACUCUAUCUCUCUGUCUCUCUCUCUCCUUCUAUCCCCACCUCUUUUCCUUCUAACUGCUGACAAAGCCCAAUUGAUGGGAGAGAAUUUUUGGAACUUUCUAAAUGCAUGACAGUUGUAAUGGUUAUUUUGAACAUUUUAUUUUUGAAUUUAAAUGAUAGGUUCUAGAGCUAAUAUCUGAUAUGUUUUUUUAUUCAUCAUGAACUGCUGUUUCCUAUGUAUUCAUUGCUAAUGUGAUCUACAUAUACACUGAUUUUCUAUAAAUG